rnacentral:rRNA from 1 species
ACUUAAAGAAAUUGACGGAAGGGCACCACCAGGAGUGGAGCCUGCGCUUAAUUCGACUCAACACGGGAAAACUCACCCGGCCCGGACACUGUGAGGAUUGACAGAUUGAUAGCUCUUUCUUGAUUCGGUGGUUGGUGGUGCAUGGCCGUUCUUAGUUGGUGGAGCGAUUUGUCUGGUUAAUUCCGAUAACGAACGAGACUCUGGCCUGCUAAAUAGUAUGCCUGUCUCUGUGCUCGUGCAGGUUGCGUUGUCCAUUGCCUCCUCGUGGGGUAGUGGUUACGUUGACCGGCGGGUGCGGCGCAGGUACUUACUUCUUAGAGGGACAAGCGGUAUUCAGUCGCACGAAAUUGAGCAAUAACAGGUCUGUGAUGCCCUUAGAUGUCCGGGGCCGCACGUGCGCUACAAUGACGGUUUCAGCGAGUUUGGAAUCCUGGCCUGAGCAGGUUGGGUAAACUGUAUCAUAACCGUCGUGACUGGGAUCGGGGCUUGCAAUUGUUCCCCGUGAACGAGGAAUUCCUGGUAAGUGCAAGUCAUAAGCUAGCUUGCGCUGAUUACGUCCCUGCCCUUUGUACACACCGCCCGUCG